GGGGAUGUCUGGUUUCGACAGGGUCGUAAGUGCGGAGAUUGCAGGUCGAGGUUGCCCGAGGCCUCGUAAAAACGGGCAAAAACAUUAAAUGGCGAGCAUCAGCUUGCUUUCGCUGCCUAGUUAACUAGGACGCGACGUUCGCCCGAACCGCAGCCUGGCCGGUUCGGAGCCGAGCGCCACUAAGCCGGGCUGCCGCGGUUCCGAUCGCUGGAUGAGACCGCGAAAGACUAUCUGGCAAGCCCGGUGAGACGCUGUCGGCGGUGGCUCACCUGGGCGAACAAAUCACCGACUAAACCUGUAGGAUAUCUUCGGCUGAAAGCUCUGGACGGGGGUUCGAUUCCCCCCAUCUCCACGA
rnacentral:tmRNA from 1 species